rnacentral:rRNA from 1 species
UGCAUGCCCGCGAAGAAGGGAGCGGCGAACGGCUCAGUAGCACCGCGGCGAUCUGCCCCGCGCGACGAAUAACCGCGGGAAACUGCGGCUAAAAGCGCGGGCUGAGGCGCGGCCCCAUCAGCUAGUCGGCGGUGUAACGGACCGCCGAGGCGACGACGGGUGCGGGGGGUAGGGGCCCUAUACCGGAGAGGGAGCCUGAGAGAUGGCUCCCACGUCCAAGGACGGCAGCAGGCGCGGAAAUUGCCCACUCCUCGUGGGGAGGCAGUCAGGAGACGUAGCGUAUGAGUACACUGCAAACGCGUGUGCGAACGCGAGCGGAGGGCAAGCUCGGUGCCAGCAGCCGCGGUAAUACCGACUCCGCGAGUGUCUGCGGUGGAUGCUGCAGUUAAAACGUCCGUAGUCAAGUCUGCAGCGAAAGCGCGCUGAUCAAAGGCGCGUGUGCUGCAGCGAUUAGCGGGGCGGACGGGGGGCGUGGUAUGCGCGGGCGAGAGAUGAAACGCCAGGACCCCGCGCGGACCAACGGUGGCGAAGGCGGCGCUCCCGGACGCACCUGAGGAUCAAGGACGGAGGCCGGAGGAUCGAAAGUGAUUAGAGACCGCUGUAGUUCCGGCAGUAAACGAUGCCGACACCGCGUGGCGUGUGCUGCGCGGCGGGGAAACCAUAGUGUUCGGGCUCUGGGGAUAGUAUGCUCGCAAGGGUGAAAACUAAAGAAAUUGACGGAGCUACACCACAAGGGGUGGAUUGUGCGGCUUAAUUUGACUCAACGCGGGGAAGCUUACCAGGCCCGCGCGCGCCUAAGACCGCAAGCGCGAGGCGCGCAGGAGUGGUGCAUGGCCGCUGGAAACCGCUGGCGCGAGCUGCGGCUUAACUGCCGGAAGCGGUGAGACCCUAAGACGGGCGCGCGCAGCGCAGGAGGGCUGGGCGAUAGCAGGUCAGUGAUGCCCUCAGAUGGCCUGGGCCGCACGCGCAAUACAGUCCGUGCGCACAGUAUAGAGUAGUCGCACGGAGAGGGAUCGGCGCGCGCAACCGCGCCGUGAACGAGGAAUCCCCAGUAACGGCGGCUCAGCAGGCCGCGGUGAAUACGUCCCUGUAGCUUGUACACACCGCCCGUCACUGUCUCAGACGGCAGCCGCGGCGAGGAGGGCGAC